CAAAGCCACCGGGCGCAUGGUCACUGAGCUGUCCGGUACACAUGGGGAGCACAACUCGAUGAGAUCUGUCGUAAUUAAUGAUGCCAUGAUUAAUGAUGGCAAUUAAUUACACCCUGCGGCAGCCCAAUUAGCGCCGUGGAGCCCAAGGAAGCCCCCAUGGGGCCGUGUGGGGCCACCCCACACCUCUGGGCACUGUUUCAGCCCUGCCCCACCAACUCUGUGCCCCUGACCCGGGGGCUCCCUGUGGGUCCAUCCCAUCUCCAUGCCCUCGGGUGGGUGACUCGAGCCCACCCUGCUCGGUGAGGGGGGGGGGGCGUUGUCAGAGCAGCAAACCCACCCUUAACGUCCCCAAAAUGCUUGGGGACAAGGGGACCCAUUGGCACGAGCACCUGGGUGCGUGCGCACCUGCUGCGUGGCGAUGGAGCCGCGCACGGGGGGCACGGAGACCCCCAAAGCAGGGGGGUGUCUGCAGGGGGCGGGUGCAGGCAGCACCCUUGGGUGCCCCUACACACCCCGAACCCCCACCCUGGGGCAGCGCAGCCUCUUCUCUACGGCCUCAGCCGCUCAGCCUCCGCCUGCAGCCUCCGCACAUCCUGCGCCCUCCGCGAGGCCGCUUCCUGAGCGGGGCAGGAAGAGCGCGGGCUGCCACGGCGCCUCGCAGGGCAGCCCGAGACCCCCGGGGCGAGCCCCGGCCCCACGCAUGGAGGUGGCCGCCGGCCCCCCCUGAGCCCCCAGCCCCAUGGCUUUCCUCCGGAGGCUUUUCCGUUUGGGUCUGGAGAAGAAGAAGCCCAGGCGGUGCGAGCACGUCAAGCGGGACGUCGACCCCGAGGAGGCCUGGCUGGUGCUGGGCGAGCUGGGCGAUGGGGCCUUCGGCAAGGUCUUCAAGGCACAAAACAAGGUGACGGGGGCAUUGGCGGCGGCGAAGGUGAUCGAGACGCCAAGUGAGGAGGAGCUGGAGGAUUACGCGGUGGAGAUCGAGAUCCUGGCGGGCUGCGACCACCCCAACAUCACCAAGCUCCUGGACGCGCUCUACUGGGACGGGCGGCUCUGGGUGAGCGGCGGGGACACGGCGGGGGUGAAAUGUCCUUGGGGACAGGGGGUUGGGGCUGGCAAAGGCACUGUUUCAGAUUUUGGGUGGAUAACUCAGCUCUUUCCCACAGAUCUUGGUGGAGUUUUGUCCCGGCGGGGCUGUGGAUGCAGCGAUUUUGGGUAAAUAAAUGUGCUCUGGGUUACAAGCGCGGUUAUUGGAGGGGUGGGAAGG
rnacentral:lncRNA from 1 species